UACGGAGGGAGCUAGCGUUGUUCGGAAUUACUGGGCGUAAAGCGCACGUAGGCGGCUUUGUAAGUUAGAGGUGAAAGCCCGGGGCUCAACCCCGGAAUUGCCUUUAAGACUGCAUCGCUUGAAUCCAGGAGAGGUGAGUGGAAUUCCGAGUGUAGAGGUGAAAUUCGUAGAUAUUCGGAAGAACACCAGUGGCGAAGGCGACUCACUGGACACAUAUUGACGCUGAGGUGCGAAAGCGUGGGGAGCAAACAGG
rnacentral:rRNA from 1 species